GUGAAAAUUCAGCAGAAGCAGAAGACAGUGCUAAUUCUCCUCAAAGACAUCAGGGCAAAUCAGUUGAUGAAGUUGAAAAUUCAACUGAAGAGUCGCAGAAAGGGAUUGGAGGCGAUACUAUUCCUCCUGAAAGACAACAGAGCAAAUUAGCCGAUCAAGGUGCAGACUCAUCAGAAGAGCCACGAACAGCAAAAGAACCUGAUAAACAUCAGG